rnacentral:rRNA from 1 species
AGCAGCCGCGGUAAUUCCAGCUCCAAUAGCGUAUAUUAAAGUUGUUGCAGUUAAAAAGCUCGUAGUUGAAUUUCGGGGUCAGUAGGUUGGUCAUGCCACAGGUAUGUACUGAUCUUACUGAUUCCUCCUUCCUGAUGAACCGUAAUGCCAUUAAUUUGGUGUUGCGGGGAAACUGGACUGUUACUUUGAAAAAAUUAGAGUGUUUAAAGCAGGCUAACGCUUGAAUACAUUAGCAUGGAAUAAUGAAAUAGGACGUUCGAUCCUAUUUUGUUGGUUUCUAGGAUUGACGUAAUGAUUAAUAGGGAUAGUUGGGGGCAUUAGUAUUCAAUUGUCAGAGGUGAAAUUCUUGGAUUUAUUGAAGACUAACUACUGCGAAAGCAUUUGCCAAGGAUGUUUUCAUUAAUCAAGAACGAAAGUUAGGGGAUCGAAGACGAUCAGAUACCGUCGUAGUCUUAACCAUAAACUAUGCCGACUAGGGAUCGGAUGAUGUUAAUUUUUUAAUGACUCAUUCGGCGUCCG